CCAGUGGCAUGGCUGGAUAGCUAAGUUUGGAAAUGAUAACCGCUGAAAGCAUCUAAGCGGGAAGCAAACCACGAGAUUAGAUUUCUCGACUAUGUCCUAAAGACCCCUUGUAGACUACGAGGUUGAUAGGCGAAAGGUGUACGUGCAGUAAUGUACUCAGCUAAUUCGUACUAAUAGGUCGUGAGACUUCAUCAA
rnacentral:rRNA from 1 species